rnacentral:rRNA from 1 species
CCUACGGGAGGCAGCAGUAGGGAAUAUUGGGCAAUGGAGGCAACUCUGACCCAGCCAUGCCGCGUGCAGGAAGAAGGCGUUAUGCGUUGUAAACUGCUUUUAUAUAGGAAGAAAUAGACCUUGCGAGGUAAGUUGACGGUACUAUAUGAAUAAGCACCGGCUAACUCCGUGCCAGCAGCCGCGGUAAUACGGAGGGUGCAAGCGUUGUCCGGAUUUAUUGGGUUUAAAGGGUGCGUAGGCGGUUUAUUAAGUCAGUGGUGAAAGACGGUCGCUCAACGAUUGCAGUGCCAUUGAUACUGGUAGACUUGAGUGGGAUUGAGGUAGCUGGAAUGGAUAGUGUAGCGGUGAAAUGCAUAGAUAUUAUCCAGAACACCAAUUGCGUAGGCAAGUUACUAAGUCUCAACUGACGCUGAGCACGAAGUAGUGGUAGUACAACAGAGUAGUAUACCUACGUAGUACUACACUACGUAACGUAUAGAUAACUAACUAGUUGUCGUUCGGUUCGUAGUGUACGUAGAGAAGUAGUUAAGUUAAGUUACUACCGUACGGUAGGUAACGGUCCGGCGACGGUUAGUAACGUUACGAAGAAGUUAGACGGCGNGAGAGNGCGACGGACGACGACGAGGGAGGAGG